rnacentral:lncRNA from 1 species
GUGAAUGUAAAGAAUUAGCUAUGAAAAAUAAAAAUCUUAAAAAGCUUAAUUUGGAAAUUUCAAAAGAAAGAAAUUCUAUUGCUGAAAUACAUGACAAACUAAAUUCUGAAUAUAAAAGCUUAGGGUUAAUUUCAGAAGAAUUGAUUCAGAAAAAUCAUAGCUUAAUCAAAACAAAUCAAAACUUAAGUAAAGAAAUUAAUCAAUUAAAAUCUUUUAUUAAUAAAUUUACUGUUAGUUCAGAACGAUUAAAAAUGAUGUUUGAAAGCCAAUAUGUUGCUUAUGAUAAACCAAAACUUGGCUUGACUCCUUUACUUAACAAUAAAUCUCUAGAGAAAAAGGUUAUCA